rnacentral:rRNA from 1 species
UACAGAGGGUGCAAGCGUUGUUCGGAAUUAUUGGGCGUAAAGCGCGUGUAGGCGGCUUGGCAAGUCGGGUGUGAAAGCCCUCAGCUCAACUGAGGAAGUGCGCCCGAAACUGCUGAGCUUGAGUGCCGGAGAGGAUGGCGGAAUACCCCAAGUAGAGGUGAAAUUCGUAGAUAUGGGGUGGAACACCGGUGGCGAAGGCGGCCAUCUGGACGGUAACUGACGCUGAGACGCGAAAGCGUGGGUAGCAAACAGG